GUCGUAACAAGGUUUCCGUAGGUGAACCUGCGGAAGGAUCAUUGACACCCGAUCCAUACCAACCCAUGUGCAUGAAGCCUGUGGGCACCCGACCCGGAAGCGGCGAGGGGUCUCUGCGUCAGCGGACCCGCGUAGCUCGCGGAGGGGAGCCGGGCCAGUCUCGCACAACCGGCCAUUUUCUCUAUCUCACAACCAAAACACUCGAUAUGAUCGAACCGUCUGAAUGCGGCGAACGUGAGAGCGUGAGCCAAAUCUAGAACCCAAGAACAACUCUUAACAAUGGAUGUCUUGGUUCUCGCAACGAUGAAGAACGCAGCGAAAUGCGAUACGUAGUGUGAAUUGCAGGGCUCAGUGAAUCAUCGAAACUUUGAACGCAUAUUGCGCUUGUGGGUAACCACAAGCACGUCUGUCUCAGGAACGGUACCCAAAAACCUCAACAUCCAAAAACUCACUUGUGAGUGAGUGACGGAAGGUUGGAGAGUGAGCGUCACGCCCGCAAAUAGGGGGCGCGUCGGUCGAAAAACAAGGGCGCGGAAGCCGGAGCCGAAGGGCCUGAUGAUGGCAAGCCGUGAUGUGCCAGCCUUCCCUCGGGAGGAGCGGCAUCACCGUGAGCCAGCGGGCACCCGACAGAUAAGGAGGCACCGAGAAUAUAGCGACCGAGCGACCGGUUAGAUGAGAAGAGGAGAGAGAGGGCACCAAUGAUAUGUUGGUGCGUGAUAUCUCUGUAUCUUUUCGGAUUCGUUCUGAGAUCAGUCGAGAUUACCCGCUGAACUUAAGCAUAUCACUAAGCGGAGGAAAAGAAACUAACCAGGAUUCCCCUAGUAAUGGCGAAUGAACAGGGAAGAGCUCAAGCUUGAAUCUUCGGAAUUGUAGUCUAUAGGUGACAUCUCGUGCAGACCCGGGUAUAAAUCCGUUCUUGGAACUGGGUGCCAGAGAGGGUUAGAGCCCCGUCUUUGACUCGGUGUAUGCGCGUGGCGAGGUGUUGCUAGAGAGUCGGCUUGCUUGGGAAUGCAGGUCAAAAUGGGUGGUAAACUUCAUCUAAAGCUAAAUAUUGGCGAGAGACCGAUAGCGAACAAGUACUGUGAAGGAAAGAUGGAAAGAACUUUGAAAAGAGAGUGAAAAAGGGCCUGAAAUUGUUAAGAGGAUAAGUGGUUGGAGCAUAUCAUAUCAUGCGGGGUCUCUGGGGCGUCUGCGCCCCUUUUAUGCCGUGUGGUUGGUCAGCAUCUAUUCGUGGCGGGGGAGAAUGCCUGGUUUGAUCCCUCCGGGGUGACGGCUGGGAGAAACCCUGUCGGGGAUAGAGGCACAAAGAGCGCGCAUAGCGGCCGGCCCCUCUUGCGGUGCCUUGUAGUUGGACGAUCCUCCGGGCAUUUUCUUUCUAUGAGGUUUCGAUGGGAGGGAGCGCUGGACCUGCGCUCUAAAGAUGCUGGCACAAAUGGCUUCAACCAGCCCGUCUUGAAACACGGACCAAGGAGUCUAACACAUAUGCGAGUAGUAAGGUGGCAAACCUUGGAUGCGCAAUGAAAGUAACGUGGUUGGAUUCGCAGGAUGCACCAUCAACCGACCAGGAUCUUCUGUGAAAGGUUUGAGUAAGAGCAUAUAUGUUGGGACCCGAAAGAUGGUGAACUAUGCGUGAA
rnacentral:rRNA from 1 species